AGCGAACGCUGGCGGCAGGCCUAACACAUGCAAGUCGAACGAAGUCUUCGGACUUAGUGGCGGACGGGUGAGUAACACGUGGGAACGUACCUUUUGGUUCGGAACAACUCAGGGAAACUUGAGCUAAUACCGGAUGAGCCCUUAGGGGGAAAGAUUUAUCGCAGAAAGAGCGGCCCGCGUUAGAUUAGCUAGUUGGUGAGGUAAAGGCUCACCAAGGCUACGAUCUAUAGCUGGUCUGAGAGGAUGAUCAGCCACACUGGGACUGAGACACGGCCCAGACUCCUACGGGAGGCAGCAGUGGGGAAUCUUGCGCAAUGGGCGAAAGCUUGACGCAGCCAUGCCGCGUGAAUGAUGAAGGUCUUAGGAUUGUAAAAUUCUUUUACCAGGGACGAUAAUGACGGUACCUGGAGAAAAAGCCCCGGCUAACUUCGUGCCAGCCGCCGCAGUAAGAC
rnacentral:rRNA from 1 species